rnacentral:tRNA from 1 species
UAAAAAUUAGUUAAAAAAUAACAUAAAUUUGUCAAAUUUAAAUUAGAAAUUAAUCUAUUUUUAU